ACGAACGCUGGCGGCACGCUUAACACAUGCAAGUCGAACGAGAGAAGAGAAGCUUGCUUUUCUGAUCUAGUGGCGGACGGGUGAGUAACACGUGAGCAAUCUGCCUUUCAGAGGGGGAUACCGAUUGGAAACGAUCGUUAAUACCGCAUAAUAUAAUUGAACCGCAUGAUUUGAUUAUCAAAGAUUUAUCGCUGAAAGAUGAGCUCGCGUCUGAUUAGCUAGUUGGUAAGGUAACGGCUUACCAAGGCGACGAUCAGUAGCCGGACUGAGAGGUUGAUCGGCCACAUUGGGACUGAGACACGGCCCAGACUCCUACGGGAGGCAGCAGUGGGGAAUAUUGCACAAUGGAGGAAACUCUGAUGCAGCGAUGCCGCGUGAGGGAAGAAGGUUUUAGGAUUGUAAACCUCUGUCUUCAGGGACGAAAAAUGACGGUACCUGAGGAGGAAGCUCCGGCUAACUACGUGCCAGCAGCCGCGGUAAUACGUAGGGAGCGAGCGUUGUCCGGAAUUACUGGGUGUAAAGGGAGCGUAGGCGGGAUCGCAAGUCAGAUGUGAAAACUAUGGGCUUAACCCAUAAACUGCAUUUGAAACUGUGGUUCUUGAGUGAAGUAGAGGUAAGCGGAAUUCCUAGUGUAGCGGUGAAAUGCGUAGAUAUUAGGAGGAACAUCAGUGGCGAAGGCGGCUUACUGGGCUUUAACUGACGCUGAGGCACGAAAGCGUGGGUAGCAAACAGGAUUAGAUACCCUGGUAGUCCACGCUGUAAACGAUGAUUACUAGGUGUGGGGGGUCUGACCCCUUCCGUGCCGGAGUUAACACAAUAAGUAAUCCACCUGGGGAGUACGACCGCAAGGUUGAAACUCAAAGGAAUUGACGGGGGCCCGCACAAGCAGUGGAGUAUGUGGAUUAAUUCGAAGCAACGCGAAGAACCUUACCAGGUCUUGACAUCGUAUGCAUAGCUCAGAGAUGAGUGAAAUCUCUUCGGAGACAUAUAGACAGGUGGUGCAUGGUUGUCGUCAGCUCGUGUCGUGAGAUGUUGGGUUAAGUCCCGCAACGAGCGCAACCCUUACUGUUAGUUGCUACGCAAGAGCACUCUAGCAGGACUGCCGUUGACAAAACGGAGGAAGGUGGGGAUGACGUCAAAUCAUCAUGCCCCUUAUGACCUGGGCCUCACACGUACUACAAUGGCUGUCAACAGAGGGAAGCAAAGCCGCGAGGUGGAGCAAACCCCUAAAAGCAGUCUUAGUUCGGAUUGUAGGCUGCAACCCGCCUACAUGAAGUCGGAAUUGCUAGUAAUCGCAGAUCAGCAUGCUGCGGUGAAUACGUUCCCGGGCCUUGUACACACCGCCCGUCACGCCAUGGGAGUCGGUAACACCCGAAGCCUGUAGUCUAACCGCAAGGAGGACGCAGUCGAAGGUGGGAUUGAUGACUGGGGUG
rnacentral:rRNA from 1 species